rnacentral:misc_RNA from 1 species
AACGCACAUUGCGCCCGUCAGCAUUCUGGCGGGCAUGCCUGUUCGAGCGUCAUUUCAACCCUUAAGCACAGCUUAGUGUUGGGAAUCCGCGGGCUGCCCCGCGGUUCCCCAAAUCCAGUGGCGGGAACGUGUGUGUCCUCUGAGCGUAGUAAGUUCUCUUUUUUCGCUCUGCGAGGCGCCGCGGCCCCUGCCGUAAAACACCCAACUUUUUUUAAUGGUUGACCUCGAAUCAGGUAGGAAUACCCGCUGAACUUAA